GAUGAACGCUGGCGGCGUGCCUAAUACAUGCAAGUCGAGCGAAUGGAUUAAGAGCUUGCUCUUAUGAAGUUAGCGGCGGACGGGUGAGUAACACGUGGGUAACCUGCCCAUAAGACUGGGAUAACUCCGGGAAACCGGGGCUAAUACCGGAUAACAUUUUGAACCGCAUGGUUCGAAAUUGAAAGGCGGCUUCGGCUGUCACUUAUGGAUGGACCCGCGUCGCAUUAGCUAGUUGGUGAGGUAACGGCUCACCAAGGCAACGAUGCGUAGCCGAACUGAGAGGGUGAUCGGCCACACUGGGACUGAGACACGGCCCAGACUCCUACGGGAGGCAGCAGUAGGGAAUCUUCCGCAAUGGACGAAAGUCUGACGGAGCAACGCCGCGUGAGUGAUGAAGGCUUUCGGGUCGUAGAACUCUGUUGUUAGGGAAGAACAAGUGCUAGUCGAAUAAGCUGGCACCUUGACGGUACCUAACCAGAAAGCCACGGCUAACUACGUGCCAGCCGCCGCAGUAA
rnacentral:rRNA from 1 species